rnacentral:rRNA from 1 species
GCAGCCGCGGUAAUUCCAGCUCCAAUAGCGUAUAUUAAAGUUGUUGCAGUUAAAAAGCUCGUAGUUGAAUUUCGGGAUCAAUGUUUCGGUCAUGCCGUUGGUAUGUACUGAUAUUAUUGAUUUCUCACCUUCUAAAGAACCGUAAUGCCAUUAAUUUGGUGUCACGGGGAAUUAGGACUGUUACCUUGAAAAAAUUAGAGUGUUUAAAGCAGGCUCACGCUUGAAUACAUUAGCAUGGAAUAAUGAAAUAGGACAUCCGAUUCUAUUUUGUUGGUUUCUAGGAUCGAUGUAAUGAUUAAUAGGGAUAGUUGGGGGCAUUAGUAUUCAAUUGUCAGAGGUGAAAUUCUUGGAUUUAUUGAAGACUAACUACUGCGAAAGCAUUUGCCAAGGAUGUUUUCAUUAAUCAAGAACGAAAGUUAGGGGAUCGAAGACGAUCAGAUACCGUCGUAGUCUUAACCAUAAACUAUGCCGACUAGGGAUCGGAUGAUGUUAAUUUUUUAAUGACUCAUUCGGCGCCUUACG